rnacentral:misc_RNA from 1 species
UAGGCUUGAAACGCAAGUUAAUCCCGAUGAAAGUCGGGGUGCCGCAAGGCGAACUUGUACAGGUGCUGCAUGGCUGUCGUCAGCUCGUGCCGUGAGGUGUUGGGUUAAGUCCCGCAACGAGCGCAACCCUCGUUCUUAGUUGCCAUCAGGUAAUGCUGAGCACUCUAAGAAGACUGCCUACGCAAGUAGUGAGGAAGGUGGGGAUGACGUUGUGGAAGCAAGCU